rnacentral:other from 1 species
UCUGCCCUGAGGUGUUGGCCAGUUGACUAUGUCCUCGAGCCGAUAACGUCACCCUGGCGGCUUCCAGCGGGUACUGGUGCGCAAGUCCGCCAAGCAGCGGAAAGCCUAAUGUAUCCCGGAGGCCUCCACCUUGAACCCUACGGUUCAAGGCUACGUCUUCAGCCGCACGCUCGGGGCUCCU